UUUCCUUGAGAUGAAAGGGACAGGGUCAGCCCAGCGGCACAGGGAAUUCAGUGAAUGUUAGAUGUUAUUAUAGAUGAUACAUAAAUCAUAACACACAAAUCCUUACAAUGUCUUACUUGGCAUUGUUGUUUUCUUGAAAGAGAAUUUUUAACUUGUCAUGUAUGUUUGGAGCCGGGAACUGAGACCCCCAAAUAGUACGUGGAACUCUGUCUAGGGGGCCACUUCACUGACGCUGAGCAUGCAGGGUGGCUCUGGUGCCUUUUCUUUUUUUCUGAACCUGUAAAUGGUCUUCUGCAUCUCUGUGUACACAGGCAGGUGAACUAAUAGAAUUAGGCUUAUUGGUUUAAUUCCUCUGGGUCCUCUUGGCAAGGGGAGAGCAGCUGGAUGAAUAUUUUAAUUAAGCUCUGACACCCAGAAGUCAAAGUCCCCGAGCGGUCCCCAGUGGGCAAGGUCUUGCAGUUUGGGGUUUAAUCAAGUUUGGUUUCGGAGUUCAAAUUUCUUCCUGGACAGAAAUGUGUCAUUAGGCGUCCAAGAUUUCAACUGGAAAAAAAAUGCAACUUGACUGUAUUUUCUCUAGAGAAUGACACUGCGAUUCGAUUAGCUCCUUUUCCUUGACAUUUUGCCCGCUUUAUUAACUUCUGCUUUGCUUUUAAGCAGGCAACUACUGUUUUACUUCCCUGAAGAAGCUCAUGAUAUUAUAAUUCAAGUGUCAGGACAGAUUAGGUUAAAUGAACUGUGUAAUUCCCGAAGGAAAACAAACUUCAAAACGGACGCGGUUCGCCUUGUAACAUGUCAUGGAUUGCAUUAGCGUUGAACGGGCGAUUCCAUCACCCAAAUGUGCUAAAGUUGGCUCAAAUGUUCCCCACUCUGCAAGGGCCAGGGCCGUCGGGGCCACGGCUUAUCCAUCAUUGCAAAGAUCUCUCUGAGGCAUGGAGCGGAGGCAGCCCUGCCCAGAGGGGUUGGAAAAUGAGCGGCAUAUGGGGCCCUCAGUCCCAGGACCUUCUUGGCUUGGCUCCCAGGGAAGGGCGUGGGCUUCUUGGUCUGGAAACCGCCCAGGGAAGGCCUCUGGGGAGGCAAAGGCACAUGGCUUCAGAAAAAUGGUACAUCUCUGUGGCUUUGGUGACCAGGUCUGCCUUUCCGGGCUCUCCGGAUUCCCCCAUUUUCCCCCAGCCCCGAGACCAACUUUGGGGAGAGGGGAAGCUCACACCUCAGAGAUCCAGACACCUGCCGCGGUGCUGGGGAGGGGAUGCUAGUGAAGGUGGGAAUGGUGUUUCUAAGCAGCCCUGGAAGGUGAGCAAAUUCCGGUACCUCCGUAUGGUCUCAGGAACCUGCAUCCUUGCUCCUCUGCAUUCCCUUCCUCCGAGUGACGAGGGGCUGUGA
rnacentral:lncRNA from 1 species